UGGGGGAUUUUGCACAAUGGGCGAAAGCCUGAUGCAGCGACGCCGCAUGGGGGAUGAAGGCUUUCGGGUUGUAAACCUCUUUCGCUAUCGAACAAGGCCCGCUUAGGGUGGGUUGAGGGUAGGUGGAGAAGAAGCGCCGGCUAACUACGUGCCAGCAGCCGCGGUAAUACGUAGGGCGCGAUCGUUGUCCGGAAUUAUUGGGCGUAAAGGGCUUGUAGGCGGCUUGGUGCGCCUGCUGUGAAAACGCGGGGCUUAACUUCGCGCGUGCAGUGGGUACGGGCAGGCUUGAGUGUGGUAGGGGUGACUGGAAUUCCAGGUGUAGCGGUGGAAUGCGCAGAUAUCUGGAGGAACACCGAUGGCGAAGGCAGGUCACUGGGCCAUUACUGACGCUGAGGAGCGAAAGCAUGGGUAGCGAACAGG
rnacentral:rRNA from 1 species